AUGGAGGACGAAAAGAUGCGACCGGAUUGGAAACACACAAAUGACUUCGUUGAGUCCACUGCCACCAGCCCCCCCCCCACCUCUCCCUCAUGCUCCUCCACCCCAGGCACCUCUUCCACCACCCCAGACACCCCUUCCAAGAGGAGAGUGCCAGGGGGCAGGCGAGGCAUGAGGAGAGCGAGGCAAAGUUGGCGGAAUGGUGGAGAAGAUGUGAUUCUCCACCAUUCUCUCAAAAGCUGAGAGAGAGUGUGUGUGUGUAUAUUUAGGUGUGCGUGUGUGUGUAUUUUUAGAUGCUUGUGUGUGUAUUUUUAGAUGUGUUGUUCAGUGUUUCUUAUUUAAAUAAAGUGUUUAUUCUAAAGUGUUCUUGUUCAUAACGGAUUAUUAUCUAAGGGUGCACUCACACUAGGCCAAAAUAUAAAUACCAUUUCAGGUUAAACAUCUUUACAAUGGGUCUUGCUCGUUGCCCGAGACAAUGGCAGCCAGUCUGUCUCUUGUAACAUUACCAGGGGUCUGGUUAUCUGCUAGGGGGCACGGGGAGGCCAUGAUGACGUCACAGGGUAGGGUUGUCCCAUUUGGUAGGGGAUCGGUUAGGGGUAGCAAUGAGGGGAAGCAAUGAGCAUGAGAAAUGAGGGUUAGGGUUGAGAUGUAGGGUUGAGACAGUGAGCAAAGAAACGGGAUUGGGCCCUACUCUUACUAAGGAUAAAUCACAAAGAGUGAACUUUAAGAGUGACGCGCCGUUGCUAUGGAUUACGUCAAUUCUCGUGCACGAGUUUAGAAGCGGUCGGUUCGGUGAUUGGUUGUUCAGACGAGCCCACUGAGUCACCGAAAAACAAGGAAAUAGCCUAGGCUAUAAAAUGAAUCCUAUUAAGUAGUUAUAGUGCAGUUAGCAGAAUACACAAAUGAUGACAAUUUUGUGCAGACCACGAUAAUGACGUUGUAGCCUGCACAUUCAAGAGAGAGAAAGCAAACAAUAAAAAUACGUAAAAUUUAAAAGAAAAUAAAUGUUAUGAACUACCCAAGUGUUGACUGAUUUAUGCCAAGGUGUUUACCUAAAAUGUGUUUUCAAAGUGAUCCCUAAAUGCCUGUCCACUCAUCAUCAUCAUCAUCAUCAUCAUCAUCAUCAUCGUCUGGCUGUGGAAUGUUCCUCCGCUUGCAGAGGUUGUGUAGAAUGGCACAUACAGUGAUUACUGUGCUUGCCCUCUCUGGGGUGAGGCGUAUUUCGCCUCACCCCAGAGGACAUGAAACCGACGUUUCAUCUGCCCAAUUCCUCUCUCCACAACAUUUCGUGUAUGUUUGUGUGCUCUAGCAUACAUGGAAGAAAUCAGUAAACAAUAAUAAAUAUGGAUUCAACCAAUAAAAGGCGUCAAAGAGCCAAUACGAUGUGUUUUACGCAUAGGACUAAGCGUAAUCUGCGUAAUCACUUACAUGUUAUACUUUAACUGUGCUCCCGGUUGUGGAUUGAGGUAGGGUGUCUAGAGCUACGUCUUGCAUAGAUAGUCACUGUCACCCAACAAGUGACACCCAACUGGUACAUACAUCUCAAAAAGCUGCCUCAGACCGCGCGCUCACCAUUAAAAUGCGCGAAUCAUGGGUAGCUGAAGAUCCAGGCCACUUUGCAACAACAUCCAGUAGGCCUAGGCUAUGUUAAAAUUUGCAUCAAAAACAACCUGCGUGUUGAUGGAAUGCACUUUCUUCCUAUUGACGAACACGUCCUCGUCUUUUGAUGGCGCAAUUAUUUUUAUGUGCGUCCCGUCAAUAGCACCGACCACACUGGGCAUACCUGCAAGUGCCAUGAAGUUGGCUUUGAUCCUGUGUAAUUGUUGAAUGUCCAAAGGAAAGUUUAUGGCACGGCUGACUGAUGUUUGCGAUAAUUUUAAAUCGUCGGCAUUGCAAAGUUGCAUUUCCCCUGUUGCUAAAUAACGUAGUGUGGCCAAACAUUUUAUUUCUG
rnacentral:lncRNA from 1 species